UUUGCAGAAGAAGACGAAAUGAGGUCCAGAUUUUUUCCAUUUCUUUCGCAAUCCUCAAUCGCGUAGAAUCCUCUUCAAUUCAAACUCAUUCCAGGAUCCGGAUCGCUUUCCUCGAAUCUUGUUUCUCAAUCUCAAGGAAUCAUAAAUACAAGUCUUGGAUUCGACGCAACAGCAACGUCUCCCCUUCCCAUUCGCCCACCGAAAGGUUCUCUGUUUUUAGUUUAAAGUUUCUACAAGGUACACUUCUAAUUCUGGAAUGAACUUGAGUAGUGUUUCAAUUGGAAUUAGGGGUGUUAAGAAAAGAGGAAAAAAAACUGAACGAAUUGGUUUAUAUUAUAAAUUUAAUCUUCUUUUAUGAACGAAUCCAAUUAGGUUGUGAUAUAGUUUUAGUCACUACAAUUUAGAAAGUUCAAAAAGUUAUAUUGGAUCAAUCCUUACUUGAAUAUCAAACAUGCAUCUUCAACUUGGAGUCGAAUUUUUGAAAAUGAAAGGGCUGAGUGCAAGAAAACUUAAGAGAUAGAGAUAAGAAAAAUCACACUUUUAUAAGUUUAUUGUCAUCUAAAAUAUUACACUCUGCUGUACACACUGUUGUACUUCCUCAAGAAAUGCAAAUCAAAGAAAACUAAAUUGCAGACCACCUAAUUUCUCUCCUGAAAAAAAUUGAAUGAAAAAAUAAAGCUGAAAACUAAACAUAUGUUCUGAAGGAAAAAAAUGCAAGCUCACAACAUAGCAUUGACUUUAGAAUGAACACCAAAUGCUUAAUGAAAAGAAAAAAA